ACGGGAAACCGGAGCUAAUACCGAUAAUAUAUUGAACCGCAUGGUUCAAUGGUGAAAGACGGUUUUGCUGUCACUUAUAGAUGGAUCCGCGCCGCAUUAGCUAGUUGGUAAGGUAACGGCUUACCAAGGCAACGAUGCGUAGCCGACCUGAGAGGGUGAUCGGCCACACUGGAACUGAGACACGGUCCAGACUCCUACGGGAGGCAGCAGUC
rnacentral:rRNA from 1 species